AACGAACGCUGGCGGCAUGCCUAACACAUGCAAGUCGAACGAGACCUUCGGGUCUAGUGGCGCACGGGUGCGUAACGCGUGGGGACCUGCCCUUAGGUUCGGAAUAACUCCCCGAAAGGGGUGCUAAUACCGGAUAAUGUCUUCGGACCAAAGAUUUAUCGCCUUUGGAUGGGCCCGCGUUGGAUUAGCUAGUUGGUAGGGUAAAAGCCUACCAAGGCGACGAUCCAUAGCUGGUCUGAGAGGAUGAUCAGCCACACUGGGACUGAGACACGGCCCAGACUCCUACGGGAGGCAGCAGUGGGGAAUAUUGGACAAUGGGCGAAAGCCUGAUCCAGCAAUGCCGCGUGAGUGAUGAAGGCCUUAGGGUUGUAAAGCUCUUUUACCCGGGAUGAUAAUGACAGUACCGGGAGAAUAAGCUCCGGCUAACUCCGU
rnacentral:rRNA from 1 species